UACGUAGGGUGCGAGCGUUAAUCGGAAUUACUGGGCGUAAAGGGUGCGCAGGCGGUUAUAUAAGACAGAUGUGAAAUCCCCGGGCUCAACCUGGGAACUGCGUUUGUGACUGUAUGACUAGAGUACGGUAGAGAGGGGUGGAAUUCCUGGUGUAGCAGUGAAAUGCGUAGAUAUCGUGAGGAACACCAGAGGCGAAGGCGGUUUCCUGGACAGUUACUGACGCUCAGGCACGAAAGCAUGGGGAGCAAAAGGG
rnacentral:rRNA from 1 species